GAAGUGUUGGGAAAACUAAAAGUUACUGUGGGUAAAUAACAGGAUAUAAUGACUGUGGCUGAGAGAUUCAAAUAUGAUGGACUGGAGUGUCUAAGAGAAGGAUUUAAUUCAAAGACAACAACGAACAGCUGAGCAAUAAAGACGACAACUUCACAAGUUUCUUAAAGGAAUUACUGAAGCUGACAGCAACAGCUAAGAUCCCCACGACCAGAACAAAACCAGGACAACAACAGAACAGGCUUCCAUCUCAACAUCUGACUGGUGAGGCAGCCUGCAGUGACCUGUCCCUGAGUUUCUCCUGACGCAAACAGAAGAGCACAGACCAUGAACCAAAGGUCAUGUGACCAAAAGGCAGAGGUCGUUUGAGCGCUCUUGUUCAAGGUCGCAGAGUAGUGAUGAAGUAACCUCAAUCAACAGCAGUGUGUGUUUAAAACUGCCCGAAACACAAACACGGAGCUGCUCCCCCAUAAAAAUCCCUCCCUGUCUGCACCUUCCUCUUUAAAGUCCUCUGGACUUGACGUGCCGCUGCUGCCAAAGCUGUAGUUAGCAGCCUUCACCCUGCUGACUGGAGCGGGAAGAUUAGGGGUCAUGUCAGCUCCAGAUUAUUGGAGGAUUUUACAUUUAUAAACCUGUGCUGGCUCUAAUUUAACUGCACCUUCAGGGACUUUAAAGAGCGGCCGGAAUGAGAGGAACAGAUGUGGCGCCUGUUAAUGGGAAAACAGCAGCGGUGGGAUCAUCCUGCAGUCAGCUGAAAGGAGCCCAGGAACAGAGAGAGAGAGAGAGAGAGAGAGAGAGAGAGAGAGAGAGGGAGACGGACAUUUCUACUCCCAUCGUUCCACUUUUUCUCCUUCAUCUGCUCUGGUUUUUCUUGGUUCUUAUAAGGUCUAGGCAAGUUAUCACAUCAAUUAGGACUUCAACACAUUCAGUAAUCAGUCCUGACAAUGAUUGUAGUAGUAGUAGAAGUAGUAGUAUCUUAUUCUUUUAUGAAUUUAAAAUAAGUAUCAACAAUAUAUUGUGAUAUUCCGUUUCACAAUAUCGUAUCAAUAUUCUACAGAACUAUAAAAUGUUUUAGUAAUAAUUAAUGUGUAUAUUGAUGGCGUUGGUUCAUUUUUGUGUCACAUUUAAUCCUCUGACCACUAGUUGAUUGUACAGGGACUGUAUAUAUAUGCAAGUAUUUGAGACUUUCAGUCAAACAAUUUUAUAUUUUUUCAUUAGUUUAUCCAAAAAAUCCUGCAAAUGUUUUAAAUUUCUUCUUUGAUGAUUACAAAUGUAGAUCCUCUAAAAAUCCCUGCAUGUAUAGUAUCACAGUAUAUCGCCAUAUAUCAUAUUGUUGGCCCUGUAUCGUGAUAUCGUGAUUGCCAAUACACCCUCCUACGUUUGAUACUUUUUUAAUUACUUCAAAUAAAAAUGAAAUAACAAUAAUCAAUCAGUCAAUAUUAUUAUUAUUAUUUGCUCGACGAUCAGAGAAACCUCUCAGAGCAAACACUAAGGUACAGUAACUGUCCUAGUGGACUACUUCAGGUAUAGAGUAUUAUAUAUGUAUAUAGAGUAUAUAUAG